UGACACGACGGUGAGAGCGUGGGACGCGCGCACAGGCCGGGAGCUACGCAGCAUGGGAGGCCAUACAGCGGCCGUGACAGGUGUCGUCGCUCUGUCGCCCGAACACUCAACAAACAUCUGGCAGCGGGCGCGAGUCGGAGCCCCGGUCGAUGACCUUGAUGACACGGCGGAUUGCAACCUACAGGGAGGGCGGGCCGUCAGGUUGCAGCUUGCUCACUAGAGCUGGCACACUGCGACGUGGUGUCUGGACAGCGGGAAGGAUGCUGAGGGGGGUGUACGUGUACAACCCCAGUGAUUGUUGCCUGCGGGCCUACUGGGCAGCGAGCGACGCUGAUUGUCAUUGAAAUAG